rnacentral:lncRNA from 1 species
UCUUGUCUUAGAAGUCUAGUUCACAAAAGAACAUUGCUAAGAGCAAUCAGAGAGAUUGAGAGGCACUGGAGGCCUAGUCCAGCUGCUGGAGUAUCACAUUGAAAGGAAAUAUGGCAGCCAGGUGGUCCCAGAGAAGUGAGUUUGUUUCUGUCUUUUGGGGGCAUUUAUUAUAAUGGAGGUCCAGAGAAAUCAGAUAGUUGGAAUAGCUGGAAUAGCAGUGGUAGGAGCAGGGCAGGGUAAAGAGAUAGAGUGACUAAGCAAGGGGAACAGGUUCUAGAAGAGUAGACAUAACUUGUUAUCAAAAACACUGAUCUAGGUCUAAGAGAUCUAAUUUAGUGGUCAUAUGACUUUGAUCAGUAAAAACUUUUUUGGGCUUUAAUUCCCUCACCUACUAGAUGGGAAUAAAUCAUAUCUAAAUUACCUCACAGAGUUGUGAUGAUCAAACGAGAGAUAUGUUUUGGAGAACACUUUGAAAAAUAUAAAAUGCUUUAAGUAUAAGGUAUGUUUAUGCAGGCAUCAGAGUUUAAUAUGCUAGAGUGGGAGGGACUGUCUAGGACACAGAAAUUUUCUAUUGUUGUGGUAGGAAAUAUUCCAGAAUUGAGUAUUAAUCAACAGAUACCAAGCAAUGACUAUAUUGUAGACAUUAUAUGUUUUAUUAUAUGUUUUAUGAUGCUUCCAAUAGCAAGGAUAUAAGGCAUAUUCCUUGCCCAGUCCAAGAGCUUAUUCUGGUUGGGGAUGGAACAGAUCAUUUGAAAAACUGAAGAACAAAAUUUAAGUAAGAGUUCAAGAUAACCGUAACUUACAUUUCUAAGUUCAUGGCUUCUCUGAGAGCAGCGAUUUUGGCAUCUCAUUCUUUAUUUCUUCCUAACUUUCCCAAACUGUGGAACUCUGUAUUAUCUGCACAGCAUCUGAGCAGAUUGAAGCAUGGUAGUUUUUUCACUUAUUGCAGCUGUCCCUUCAAUACGGUCCAGAGAAUCUUGGGCCUGAGCCUGGAUUCUAUGUUCUUGGUAUCAAAGACAACGAAGAUGAUAAAAAUCUUCCCUGCUUUCACUUCAAUAACUCACAUUUUUCUGGCAUUUUACAAUUCGCAAGUUCCUCACAACAACCUGGUAAGGUUAACAGUGCAUACUUGCCCCAAUUUGACAGAUGACAAUAAUUGAAACUAAGGGAGGUUAAAUAUCUUCCCCAAAUUCACAUGCUUUCAGGAUUGAAGAUCAGUUCAUUUGGUUCCAAAUUCAAUGUUCUUGCUAUCAUGCCUUGCCAUUUCUUCCUCUCCCUUAUUAGACUAGGAGUUUCCUAAGAGCUGGGACCCAGACCUCCUCCUCUUGUGGUGUGGUCCCCUAAUCUUGAAAGAUAGAUUUGUCAUUGGCACCAGAGAAAAGGGAGGGACCAAGUGGGAGGUACUUGAUAAGAGCUUCCCAACGCCCAUUACUUUGUUUGCCCUUGUAAACCCCUCUCCUAUGCUGCUGGUAGUUUCCUUGCUCAAACCAAUUUAAGAUGUUAUUUUCUAGCUUCUCCUCACAUUUUACCCCUAAACUUACCUACAAAAAGGAUGUUACAGAUGGAAAGGAGGAGGGCAACAUUCCUUGCUUUGGGGAUUGCUGAAGCUGUUUGGGAUUGCUGAAGCUUUUACUAUGGCAAAAAUUUCUUCAGAUAUUUCUUCUCCACUUGUGAAAAAGACAAACGUGAUCUCAAAGAUAGGGGGAAAUGUCACUCUCUCUUGUUGGGCAGACUUCCAAUUAGAAAGUUUCCAUGUCUCUUGGUAUCUCCUCAAUCAGCAUGGAUCACACACUAUGGUAUUUAGUUAUUCUUCUGAAGAUGGGUACAUAGAGGUCCAGUCUGAGGAGUUCCAGAAACGUACCUCCCUCUUCAUCAGGCCAAAGGAGGUGGUGCUGCAUUUGAGAAAUGUGAAACUGCAAGACAGUGGGACAUACAAAUGUAUCCUGAAGGAUAACCAACAAUCGGUAGAGAGAUAUGUGAUUCUCCAAGUGACAGACCCAAAAGACGGUGAUGACUCUGUGGUUAUUUAUACAAUGGUGGGGUUCAUCUUGGCAGGCCUGGUGGCGUGGAUGAUUUCCUUCUGCAUUUUAUGUAAGAGGGGAGACCUGCAAUGCUCCAGAAACUGGGACCAACAAAUAUGACACAAAAGGGGACUGGUGACAAAUGGACCUGUUUGGUAGCUCAAUACUCUAACUUUUCUCUAUAGGUCUGCAUCAGACCUGAGGCAAAAAUGUGAAUAAAUGGUUUGCCUUAAACGAUGCCAGCUCUCUGUUUUGUAUUGGUUCCUCCUUCCCUUCCCUAGUGUCCAAUCCCUUAUUUCCAGGAAAAACAUGUUAUUAAGAAAAAAUAUGAUAUUAAUCAUUUGCAUUUUAGUGUAGUUAGUUACUUCUCUAAGAGGAUUAUUUGUUUUGUUUUCAUUUUUAUUUCUUCCAAUUAUUAUAUAAAAACAAUUUUAAAUAUUUGUUUUAAAUUCUUUCUCUCCUUUCUUCCACUCUGGCUCCUUGAGAAAACAAGCAAUUUGACAUUGAUUAUAGCAUGCAAAAUAUAUUUUCAUGUUAGUUAUAUUGCAAAAAAGUAAGAAAAAACCAUAAAAAGAAAGUAAAAUAAAAUAUGCUUCAAUUUUUA